rnacentral:rRNA from 1 species
GUAACAAGGUUUCCGUAGGUCAGUACACCCCUAUNUCUCAAACCGUUACCUCUCCAAACAUUCGAACCAUUGCUAACAUUUNUCUAGGUGAACCUGCGGAAGGAUCAUUAAAGAGCGUUUAGGGUCCCCUCAAAAAGGGCCCGACCUCCAACCCCUUGUAUAAAUAAGUCCCUGUUGCUUCGGCGGCUCUGGCCCCCCAUCUCACGGGGGUNACCCGCCGGGGAACAACCAAAACUCUUGUCAUGUACUGUGCCGUCUGAGUCUUUUAGCGAAUUAAAAUAAAACUUUCAACAACGGAUCUCUUGGUUCUGGCAUCGAUGAAGAACGCAGCGAAAUGCGAUAAGUAAUGUGAAUUGCAGAAUUCAGUGAAUCAUCGAAUCUUUGAACGCACAUUGCGCCCCCUGGUAUUCCGGGGGGCAUGCCUGUUCGAGCGUCAUUAUCACCCCUCAAGCCCGGCUUGCAGUUGGGCUCCGUCUCUCCCCCGGGGGAGACCGGCCUAAAAAUCGGUGACGGCCGUGUCCGGUCCCCAGCGUAGUAAGAUUUUCACAAGUCAUCGCUUCCGGGUCGGGCACUGUGCCGGUCAAAACCCCUCUAUUUUCAAGAUUGACCUCGGAUCAGGUAGGGAUACCCGCUGAACUUAAGCAUAUCA